AGGGCUGAGGUAGGGUGACGAGGGCUGGGAUAGCAUGACGAGGGAGCACGGGGAAACCGGGGCCGAGGGAACCGAGGAGGAGACACUGAAGUCCGGGGAACAGAGAGAGUCCAAGAGAGGAAGGCAGGAAGCGGGAGGUGAGGCAGGAUGAAGCAGGGAAGAGUCCAAGAGGGGGAGGCUGGAAGCGGGAGCAGAGGCAGGAUGAAGCGGAGAGCCGUGAGGAGGGAACCGAGUGGUGAAGCCAGUUGACUGGGGAUGAGAGCGAGGUAAGAACAGGUACAGGACAAUGACAGGUAAGUCUACAAAUAUUCAAAGAGAGAGCUUGUGGAGAGUGUCACCAGUGUGGCGGAGAAAACGAUCCAUACUGAGCUUGAUUGUAGAUGGCUGGCAGGUGUGCGUGGCGGAAGAGCAGUGAUGGUGGAAUGAUGAACAGGUGUGCGUAGUUAGCUGGCAGCAGUAGGAAGGAGGGGAAGGGGAAAACACCAGAGACACAGAAAAAGGCAGGGCCAACGUGGAAAACACACAAAAAGGAACUAGAAAA